AUUGAACGCUGGCGGCAGGCCUAACACAUGCAAGUCGAACGAGUGGCGGACGUGAUGGUAAUGUCUCGGAAACUGCCUGAUGGAGGGGGAUCACUACUGGAAACGGUAGCUACUACCGCAUACCAUCAGAUGGGCCGAGAUGGGAUUAGCUUGUUGGUGGGGUAACGGCUUACCAAGGCGACGAUCCCUAGCUGGUCUGAGAGGAUGAGCAGCCACACUGGGACUGAGACACGGUCCAGACUCCUACGGGAGGCAGCAGUGGGGAAUAUUGCACAAUGGGCGAAAGCCUGAUGCAGCCAUGCCGCGUGUAUGAAGAAGGCCUUCGGGUUGUAAAGUACUUUCAGCUGGGAGGCGUUACCCACAGAAGAAGCACCGGCUAACUCCGUGCCAGCAGCCGCGGUAAUAC
rnacentral:rRNA from 1 species